CAUUUUGUCUUUGUAGUUGCAUUAGUGAAUGUUAAGUUUGUACUAUAACACUAUUUCUUUCUUCUCUUUCCCUCCUAUACCAGCUUUGACCUCAAAUCGACCCUGUGUUUUUGCCUGGGUUGCAUUCCCUCUAUAUUCUCCACUAAGGUGCUCUUUGCACAUUAACCUAGGACUCGCUCAGGACACUGGUUCCUCCUAUCAACGGCUACCUCAAGACUGAAAGAAACUUUGACCUCAAAUCGACCCUGUGUUUUUGCCUGGGUUGCAUUCCCUCUAUAUUCUCCACUAAGGUGCUCUUUGCACAUUAACCUAGGACUCGCUCAGGACACUGGUUCCUCCUAUCAACGGCUACCUCAAGACUGAAAGAAACUUUGACCUCAAAUCGACCCUGUGUUUUUGCCUGGGUUGCAUUCCCUCUAUAUUCUCCACUAAGGUGCUCUUUGCACAUUAACC